AGAACCAACAGGGAUUGCCUCAGUAACGGCGAGUGAAGCGGCAACAGCUCAAAUUUGAAAUCUGGCCCUCUCAGGGUCCGAGUUGUAAUUUGGAGAAGAUGCUUCGGGUGCGGCGCCGGUCUAAGUUCCUUGGAACAGGACGUCACAGAGGGUGAGAAUCCCGUACGUGCCCGGUGGCCGCCCUAUGUGAAGCUCUUUCGACGAGUCGAGUUGUUUGGGAAUGCAGCUCAAAAUGGGUGGUAAAUUUCAUCUAAAGCUAAAUACUGGCCAGAGACCGAUAGCGCACAAGUAGAGUGAUCGAAAGAUGAAAAGCACUUUGGAAAGAGAGUUAAACAGUACGUGAAAUUGUUGAAAGGGAAGCGCUUGCAACCAGACUUGCGCGCGGUCGAUCAUCCGGUGCUCGCACCGGUGCACUCGGCCGCGCGCAGGCCAGCAUCGGCCUGGGUGGCUGGACAAAGGCCUCGGGAAUGUGGCUCCCUCCGGGGAGUGUUAUAGCCCGAGGCGCAAUGCAGCCCACCUGGACCGAGGACCGCGCUCCGGCUAGGAUGCUGGCGUAAUGGUUGCAA
rnacentral:rRNA from 1 species